ensembl:ncRNA F19D8.10 ncRNA
AUUCCAAAAUUCUUUCCACUCAACUGUUUCCUAUUGAGACCAUCUGGGUCCCACUACUAAGUGGUUUUAGAAAGCUGAAAAAAAACAUAAAGGGGAAGAGAAGAUGGAAAAAAAAGCAGAGCUGUUCUUCUAUCUUUCCCGUCAUUCUUUCUGUUUAGUUCUUUUAGUACUACCCCCCCCCCCCCACCCUUCUCUGUGCGUUUCUCGAAGGGUCAAC